CUAUGAUGUAAUAAUCAUGGCGGAAGGAG
rnacentral:ncRNA from 1 species